rnacentral:lncRNA from 1 species
AGUUUGAGUAAACCUUUACAUACCUGUGUAAAUACUAAAGAAAAAUCUAAAAUAAAAAAAAAAUAGCGGAAUCCGUUAAUCUGUUUACGAAAAAUUCUACUAUGAAAAUUCGGUAGAAUUUUCUUUAUCCCUAACUUUUGACGAGCAGUUUAUAUGGCUGCCGGUUUUGGCUUUAUACCUGUCACUGUUUUCUCAAACUUUACUCUCUCAUACUAACUUGAACAAAGAAUGAAUCAUUGGCGUACCUAGUCAUAGUAUAGUUUUACAAAUUCACAUUGACUAUAGUAUCUCUGUCGUUUUGUUCAGCUCAAAGUAUUUGCUCACAAAUAAUUGAUUAAAUUAGGCACAAAAUGUUUGUUUCUUAGUAACUGGUUAGAAAAAACUAAAAAAUUUCUGACAUACUCAAUUUCAACAUAUUCUUAAAUGAGGACGUAUACUAAAAGACAACCAUAAUAUAAUUGACAAUUCGUAUUUUUGAUCUGGUAAGGUGUUGUGCUGCCUAUUAUUUAUUUACUAAAUAUUUCAUUAUAUUUACUUAUUGGUAUACUUUCCUAAAUAUAUCGGAAUAGUUCUGAUACUUCAGCUACUGAACCUACCGAAAUCUAGAUGAAACAUGGUACCAAAAUAGUUUAUAUGACUGUAGUUAAUUAUUAACUUAAUGACAUAAAUAGGCCAUUUAGCCCAAAGGUUAUAUGAGUAAAGUGGGUCAAUAUUUUAAAGAAAAUCUAAAAACUAUACAGUUCUUACCAAAGUAUGACCAAAAUUACACUUUUAUUAUGUAAGGUGGAGUUACUUUAGGGAUAAAAUUAUUAAAAUAAUCAUCAGAAUAUGUAGGUUCUCUUCAAAAUAUGUGAGAUUGUUUUGUAAGUAUAUCUUGGAAGUACUUUGAGAAUUGCUACAUUAAGCUGAAGAAAGAACACAUAUUCUUUAAUAAAUUUACCGAUUUUAUAUUUUUUUACUAACCUGUGAAAGUUCUUUUCUAGAUUAAAAAUAUGUAACUCAUGAUGUGUCAGAAAUUUGUCCUUCUCUUGUUACAAUUAUAUUCAGGAAAAGAUGUGUGAUGUUUUUUGUUGCAGUUGUGAAUUCAAUAUAAAAUAAAAACAAUAAUUUAAGUUAUCUUAGGAAAGAUUUUACAUAACGAACAAUGCUGUUUAGUAAAAUACUAUUCAAUCAUUAUCACUGAAAUCUGUCUGCAUCCCUAAAUAUCAUUAUCUCCCUUGAAGUAGACUUUACUGAGCCCUUAAGUCACUCCUGCGGACAUUUUGGUAUUUUGGGAUGUUCCAUCAACUAUCAUUGAUUCAAAAGUGGACCAGGGACCUUAAAUGCUUUCGUAGAGGUGUAUAUAAUCAUUGGUGUCUAAAUUUUCACUGUAUUCUUUACAGUAGAACUUACUCUUAUGCUAUAUAUUAAAAGUUUGUGGAUAUCACAUCUUUAAGUACUAGAUGGUAUCACUGUUAAUGAUUUUGAUCAUUAACUGAAGAUAAAUAGUUUAAAAUAAAGAAUUUAUUUAAGUAGAUAUGUGUCUUGCUGUUUGAUAGCAAGUCAAAAAUUCAUAUUUUUAAGUGCUACACAACUGUUGACGUAUACCUAGGUAUCAUUAUUUCUUCUCAUAUGAUAUAAUAUCUCUUCUUUGAUUGGAUUUGAUUUGAAAUCUAUUUAUAGUUAAAGUGUGGUAUUAUCCCAUUGAUUGAUUUACACUAUUGAGUUACAUUGGUAUUAAAUGAGAAAAAAA